rnacentral:rRNA from 1 species
GAUGAACGCUAGCGGCAGGCCUAACACAUGCAAGUCGAGGGGUAGAAGGAGCUUGCUCCUUUGAGACCGGCGCACGGGUGCGUAACGCGUAUGCAAUCUACCUUGUACAGGGGAAUAGCCCAGAGAAAUUUGGAUUAAUGCCCCAUAGUAUAUAACCUUCGCAUGUUGGUUAUCUUAAAGUUCCAACGGUACAAGAUGAGCAUGCGUCCCAUUAGUUAGUUGGUAAGGUAACGGCUUACCAAGCCGAUGAUGGGUAGGGGUCCUGAGAGGGAGAUCCCCCAGAACGGUACCGAGACACGGACCAGAAUCCUACGGGAGGCAGCAGUAAGGAAGAUUGGUGAAUGGUGGCAAGACUGAACCAGCCAUGCCGCGUGCAGGAAGACGGUCCUAGGGAUGGUAAACUGCUUUUAUACAGGAAGAAUCACUCACACGCGUGGGAGCUUGACGGUACUGUAGGAAUAAGGAUCGGCUAACUUCGUG